rnacentral:rRNA from 1 species
GACGAACGCUGGCGGCGUGCUUAACACAUGCAAGUCGAACGGAAAGGCCCUGCUUUUGUGGGGUGCUCGAGUGGCGAACGGGUGAGUAACACGUGAGUAACCUGCCCUUGACUUUGGGAUAACUUCAGGAAACUGGGGCUAAUACCGGAUAGGAGCUCCUGCUGCAUGGUGGGGGUUGGAAAGUUUCGGCGGUUGGGGAUGGACUCGCGGCUUAUCAGCUUGUUGGUGGGGUAGUGGCUUACCAAGGCUUUGACGGGUAGCCGGCCUGAGAGGGUGACCGGCCACAUUGAGACUGAGAUACGGCCCAGACUCCUACGGGAGGCAGCAGUGGGGAAUAUUGCACAAUGGGCGGAAGCCUGAUGCAGCAACGCCGCGUGCGGGAUGACGGCCUUCGGGUUGUAAACCGCUUUCGCCUGUGACGAGGCGUGAGUGACGGUAAUGGGUAAAGAAGCACCGGCUAACUACGUG